rnacentral:rRNA from 1 species
UCCUUCGACACAGGUUCGUAGGUAGAGAAUACUAAGGCGGAGAGAUAAUACUUGUAAAGGAACUCGGCAAGUUGUUUUCAUAAGUUAGACGAGAUGAAGAACCAAUUAUAAAAUUUUUACUUAGGUAAUAUUUAUAAAGGGUGGCACAGAAUCGGAGGCCCCGACUGUUUACUUAAAACACAGACAUCUGCAACGAUUAAUUUCUUUGUAUAGGUGUUGAAUUUUGCCCGAUGCCAUUAAUAUAAGGUUAAUAGGCGCUUUGCGUUUUUAUUUUCUAAAAAUCUGGUCAAUGGCGGUCUUAUCCUGAGGAUCCUAAGGUAGCAAAAUUAAUUGUCCAUUAAAUGUGGUCCCGACUGAAUAAAGUAACGAUGGUCUCACUGUCUCUACAAGUAUCUCAGUGAAAUUGACAUUAGCCGGAGGAUGCGCUUGCUUGACAAUAUAAUUGG